CCGGCAGGUGGCGCGGCGGCUGUCGUCGCUGCAGCAGGGCGGGCUGCCGGUCGACGUCGCCGAGGCCGUGGCGUUCCUCGCGUCGCCGCAGGCC
rnacentral:tRNA from 1 species